rnacentral:rRNA from 1 species
AGNCCGCUNAGGAGUGUGUAACAACUCANCCUGCCGAAGCAACUAGCCCUGAAAAUGGAUGGCGCUAAAGCUCCGUGCCUAUACCCGGCCGCCGGAAGGCACAAGCGUGAGCCGCUCUUCUGGGGCGGCGAGCGCGCGAGGCCCCGGCGAGUAGGAGGGCGCGGCGGUGUGCGCGGAAGGGUCUGGGCGCGAGCCUGCCUGGAGCCGCCGCCGGUGCAGAUCUUGGUGGUAGUAGCAAAUACUCAAGCGAGGGCCUUGAGGGCUGAUGUGGAGAAGGGUUUCGUGUGAACAGCCGUUGCACACGAGUCAGUCGAUCCUAAGCCCUAGGAGAAAUCCGAUGUCGAUGCGGGGGGUUUUCAUGUAAACGUGCUCCCCCUCGAUGGGCGAAAGGGAAUCCGGUUCCUAUUCCGGAACCCGGCAGCGGAACCGAAUCUACGGGCCCUCGAAAGAGAAGCUCGUCGGGGUAACCCAAAGGGACCCGGAGACGCCGUCGGGAGACCCGGGCAGAGUUUUCUGUUCUGCAUAAGCGUUCGAGUUCCCUGGAAUCCUCUAGCAGGGAGAUAGGGUUUGGAACGCGAAGAGCACCGCAGUUGCGGCGGUGUCCGGGUCGUCCCCUCGGACCUUGAAAAUCCGGGAGAGGGUCACGCGGAGGUGUCGCGCCGGCUCGUACCCAUAUCCGCAGCAGG